rnacentral:lncRNA from 1 species
UUGCUAUGUUACCCAGAGUACUGGAGUGCAGUGGCAUGAUCCUCAACUCCCCAGGCCAAGUGAUUCUACUACUUCAGCCUUGGGAGUGGCUGGAACCACAGGCGUGCACCACCAUGCCCAGGACACAAUUGGAGAAACUGGUUAUUUCACCAAGGCUUUGACUGGAAUGGUGUGCCUUCCUUCAAGGAAUCAAACUGGACUUAUGAAGCCAAUAAAGCCCUUGGGAAACUGGCCUCGUAUUUUGUGUACACAGUCCCUGUACAGGGUUUCUGAUCUGUGGGAUCCCGUUUCUUUUUGGGGGAUUACAGUAAGUAUAACACAGAAGGAUCAAAUGCUUCCCUCUGCCACGGCGUAUGGAGACAAAGGGCAGUGCAAGAUGCAACAGGCUUUGUCUGCUCCUGGUAGGCCUGCCUUUCACACAACUGCUCCAAAUAGUGAAGACAAUAUAAUAAGUAAGAGCCAGGAAAAGUCCUGUCUUGGCUGUCCAUCAGAUAACAAUGGAAUAGGUGUGGAAGGCUGCUGCUGGCCCUCACCAUCGUCUUCACUACUCAUAGUCUGCCUUCUUCCCGUUCUCUCAGAUCUUCAUUCCCCCAACUCAGCUCACUUAACACUUAACAAAGCAAACCCCAGGCAUGACUCCUUUUCUCAGCUGCCCUUGGCAUU